rnacentral:tRNA from 1 species
GGGGCUGUGGCUCAGUGGUAGAGCACUUGCCUAGCAUGUGUGAGACACUGGGUUCGAUCCUCAGCACCA